rnacentral:rRNA from 1 species
AGAGACCGGCGCACGGGUGCGUAACGCGUAUGCAAUCUACCUUUUACAGAGGGAUAGCCCAGAGAAAUUUGGAUUAAUACCUCAUAGUAUAAUAGCUCGGCAUCGAGCAAUUAUUAAAGUCACAACGGUAAAAGAUGAGCAUGCGUCCCAUUAGCUAGUUGGUAAGGUAACGGCUUACCAAGGCUACGAUGGGUAGGGGUCCUGAGAGGGAGAUCCCCCACACUGGUACUGAGACACGGACCAGACUCCUACGGGAGGCAGCAGUGAGGAAUAUUGGACAAUGGGCGCAAGCCUGAUCCAGCCAUGCCGCGUGCAGGAUGACGGUCCUAUGGAUUGUAAACUGCUUUUGUACAGGAAGAAACAGUUCUACGUGUAGAACCUUGACGGUACUGUAAGAAUAAGGAUCGGCUAACUCCGUGCCAGCAGCCGCGGUAAUACGGAGGAUCCAAGCGUUAUCCGGAAUCAUUGGGUUUAAAGGGUCCGUAGGCGGUUUAAUAAGUCAGUGGUGAAAGCCCAUCGCUCAACGGUGGAACGGCCAUUGAUACUGUUAAACUUGAAUUAUUAGGAAGUAACUAGAAUAUGUAGUGUAGCGGUGAAAUGCUUAGAGAUUACAUGGAAUACCAAUUGCGAAGGCAGGUUACUACUAAUUGAUUGACGCUGAUGGACGAAAGCGUGGGUAGCGAACAGGAUUAGAUACCCUGGUAGUCCACGCCGUAAACGAUGGAUACUAGCUGUUGGGAGCAAUUUCAGUGGCUA